ACCAAAAAAGAUAACUUUUUUCAGCUCUGUCAGAAGAUUCUCAUUAUUCUAAGCUAGCUUUAAAUUCUCAAAAACAAGAUGGCUGUCAUGAAGAAGUGAUAAGGAGUGAGAAUGCAUAAGAUGAGGGAUGUUUACAGACCUGAGACUAAGGAAGGACAAGGAUACAAAGAAGGACCUAUUGGCUUUGUUGACUGUGAGGACCUGAACAUGUUAUAUGAAGAGGGGUGA